CCCUAGUAGUGUAGUGGCUUGAGCAUUGGACUAGGACUCUGGAGACUAGGGUUCGAAUCUCAGCAUGGGGG